CACCAGAUGGGCUCCUGGGCUCCAACAUAUGGCGAUCGCAGCAGGAUUCGUGCCUGCCGUGGUCGCCAUGUGUUGGAAUCCACGUGUUCCUGCUUCUCGCUC
rnacentral:pre_miRNA from 1 species